UAUUAAACCUUAUUGCAGCGAUAUCCUUUUUGUUGCAGCCACAUUGUACUGUGCUUAAAAAAAUGAACAAAAAGAUUAAGCGGAAAGAAGGGCGAACA
rnacentral:sRNA from 1 species